UACGGAGGGUGCUAGCGUUGUUCGGAAUUACUGGGCGUAAAGGGCGCGUAGGCGGCCUGCUAAGUCGAACGUGAAAUCCCCGGGCUCAACCCGGGAACUGCGUCCGAUACUGGUUGGCUUGAAUCCGGGAGAGGGAUGCGGGAAUUCCAGGUGUAGCGGUGAAAUGCGUAGAUAUCUGGAGGAACACCGGUGGCGAAGGCGGCAUCCUGGGACCGGCAUUGACGCUGAGGCGCGAAAGCCAGGGGAGCAAAGCGGGAUU
rnacentral:rRNA from 1 species